UUCCUGUAGCCUCAACGCCCAGCCGGCAGAAUGCUGAUGAGGGAAGCCAUGCUGGCCUCUGAUGAGAAAAGGGGACGGAGAUGCCACUGAUUGAUUUGACCUUGCAGAGCUGUGGGGACAGGAUGUUCUGUUCUUUCUGAUGCUGUGAAGUGGUCUGGGUGAAGGGGACUUCCUGCUAAUCUGGUGUAUUUCCAGCCUUGUGUCCCACAGUUCUCCUUCUUCCUGAAGAGAAAGCCAGAGUUCUCAUCUUGUGAAAGGGCUGGGAGAGCCUGGUGCUCCCUCCACCUCAACUCCUCAUAUCCUGAUAGAGUUGAUGAUUUCCUCCAUUGGCUUUCCUGCCUAAAUGCACUUGAGGUGACCACCAUGAAGACGGAAAGAGCACUUCCCGAGGUCCAGAGGCUAGCUGGCGAGGGCUGCACCCUGCUGAAACCCAACUCCUGCUGUCUGUUCCACAUGCUAUCCGAGGUGCCUUGCCCUCAAUGAUCACUUCUUUCUUGGGUUCCCGUGGUACCAAGUUCACACCAGACAUGAAUAUCACAGAAGACAAGAUGAAGUAUGCCUGUCACCAGACACCCACGAGCUCCGUGUUUGUUUGUUCCUUGUAUCAUGUGUCCUCUGGCAUGAAGGGAAGCCAGCAGGUUCCUGCCCUGCUUGAGUUCCUGACUUGGCUUCCUUCAGUGAUGAUCUAUGGAUGUGGAAGUGUAAGCCAAACAAACCCUUUACUCUCCGACUUGUUUUUGGUCAUGGCGUUUCAUCAUAGCAGUAGUAACCUUACCAAAGACAGAAAUUGGUACCAGAACAGAAGCAAAUCGCUGUGACAGGCCUGACCAUGUUUUGAGGAGGAUUGUGCAAGGACUUUGGGCUGGAAAAGUUAUUGAGUGUUGAGAGUUCAGUGGGUUGUUCUGUUGGAGGUUUGAAGAAGAGAAUGCCGAUAUCAGUUCAGACAAUGGAGGCCCGGCUUUCCAAGUUUCAGAAGGAAGCACAGACCCUGUUGGGCCAUUUGUAUGAAGAGUCUGUGGUGACUGGUCAGCUGGAGCUGAAGAAAUAGCUGUGAUUAACAAGAGAACAGAACCACUGAAGUGAAAACCUUUGUUUUGCUGGGACAAUGGACGCUGGUCAGCUGGGGCCGAAGAAUCGGCUGUGAUUAAGAAGAGACCAGCAUCCUUGAGGUGAAAUCUUCAGGAAAGUGUUUCCUCAGGGCCGGCACAUGCAAGCUGUGUUCAGAGGUGGCCAAGGUUGUACCUCAUCCUGGCAGCUGAACUGGAUAGUGUAAGAGUCACCCAGGUGGUCCUGGUUUUGAGGGCACGAAGGAGUCAUGCAGAACAGCUGAGGCUUGGCACUGUGGGGGGCCACUGGCGAAGGUGCAGCCCAGUUGAAGCAGAAGACCCCGGCAUUUUGAGGUGGCAGGACCAUGGGACAACCACCAAGAGCAAAGCAGCUGUGGAGUGGAGCCGGCUGGAGCCUGGAAGACAAGCUAUGUGUGCUGCAGAGGGCGGAGCUGGAGAAGUGACCCGAGCCCUUUAGAAGAGCCCAGAAAAUCACUUGACCAGCAUGAAGACAAGAAUCCCAAGAGCGGCACCCAUAAACAAUACUGAGGAUCUCACACAGGGGAGGAGCGGUCUCUCCAGAGGCAGAGAAGGUGAAAGGAAGAGGCUUGAGAGAGGCUGGACACAGGAGGAAUGCAUUCUGGGAUAUUCUGUAGCACAGCCUGGAGUUUGAUUAUUUCCUGCCAUCUACUUCUCCUGUGUGAGCUUGCGUCUUUCUGUUCCAGAGCUUUCAGGCAUCAUGAGAGGAACUGGCCUCUGCCACCACAGGCACAAACUGAAGGGCCAGGAGGCUGGACCAUGGCAAACACCAGCCCAACUAUGGCAAAUAUAGCGCCAACAGCUUUCGCAACAGAGAAGAGUGAGACCGAGGAAUGGGGAACCUGCUAUGAGGCCAGAUCUUGAGAUUUGCAGGUUGAGCAGCAUGGAGGGCUUCUUUAGGAGGUCUCUGUCAAGAAGGGCAUAGCUGCUUUAGAGGGAUGCUGUACUGUGUAUGGGAGCUGAACAUGAUGCUUGUCAAUCUGCCAGAAAUCCCAGGAGACAUUCAAAGCUCAAGUCAUUGAAGGAGACCAGCUGCACGACAUCACUGGGAGCUAAUAGCACUGGGUUCCAAGAAGGGUUAUGAUGCUGGCAUCGAGGCCUCCUGCUAAGCGUGAAGACCCCAGGACCACCAGCCAGGAAUGGCAGCAGUAGCCAUGGCCUGGUUCCUCUCACCUCAAUCACUAAUUAAGAAAAACGUCUCAUAGGCAUGCACAUACAGGCCAACCUGGUGGCUGCAUUUCCUCAACUGAUGUUUGCUCUUCCCAGAUGACUCAAGCCUGUGUCAAGUUGACAUGAAAACUAGCCAGUACAGGUUUGCACAGCCAGCAUGUGCCUCCCAGGAAGAGGGCUGGAGCCGGGACAGAAGUUCAAGGCCACAGGGUACCACCCUGCAAUUGCGCUGCCGGCUGAGAGGAAGCCUCUGCAGAUCACUGAGGAGUAAAUAGAGGGUCCGGGGACUCUAUCAUUCAAAUGAGGCAGAGACGUGCUGUUCAGACGGUGGGACCAGAGGGAAGAGUCACACCCAGGCUCUUUGCAGACAAAGACUUCCUUCGAGGAACUCCUAACGGAAGACAAUGAACUGCCAAGCACUGAGGAUUUCCCUCUCCCCUGAUUGCAAGUCUUGUGCCCAGUCCCUGGAAGAGAUGAACAAGAAUCGGCAUGCAUAUUUAAGCCUAGCGCCCAACCUUCUAGGAAGAAAGGAUGAAGGCAUUAUGGAGUGUACAUGCCCACUUGUCUGCAGCCUUUCUCUCAGCAAGCCUGCAGCUGCCUGAUCAGUCCUGCUGUCCUGGGAGCACUCAGAGGACCCGAGGGUGUGCACAAAGCUAGAAGGAGUCCAAACUGGUGAUGGACAGGCCAUUCUCUGCAGAGUCACAGCCCAGGAACUCAACAUCUGCACCUAGGAUUCUGUUCUAAGCCAUGUAAUAAUUCCACAUAGCUUUCCACUGCCUCCAGGGAAGAUGGAACAUCAUUUGUAGGCACAAGCACUGUCAGGAAACUGCUGGUAGCGGCUCUUGCAGGUGUGGGAUUUGUGUCUCAAGUGGCCUCCCUUCCUUGGAGUCUAGCAAGACGCCCUUCCCUUUUCUGAUGAAUAUUAACACGGCGGAAGCAAUGCAACAUCAAAGACGGGAUCGUGAAGGCUGCGGCGGCCUCUGCCUUGAGGUAAUAGCCAAAGAGAUCAGAGAGCCACGACUACCUUAUCUUACUACCUCACCGCCAUCGCUUCCCCAGAGAGAGCUUCUUCCUGUUGGACUUGUGUUUUUAUUGCUUUCCUGUUCUGCCUUCUCAUUGGCUCUAAGCCCAGCCACAUGACUUCCUUGUCACUGCCUGUCUACACAGACCUCCAGGUCUCUAUGGAGUCUUUUCUGGGGCAGAGAGUGGACUCCGAAGUGGAAGGCAAGGGUGAACGUCACCAAACUGGGUCACACUGUGAAACCCCAGAACCCCAUUAAAGACGGAGACAAGAACCUCGCAGUUCUACCGAGCAAGAGAGGCGGUCCUGUGAAAGGGGAUACAAGACAAAGUUCUCUGAAAGUUUGCAAAACCCCUUAAUUCUCUCCCCAUGUUCCAUCUGGAGUGCGAUGGGAGUAAUGUCACAGGAAUGCUGAGCAGUCACAUGCAGAUGUAUCAAUCUGUAGAGCCUGGAGACCAGUCACACGAAGUCACGCAACCUGGCAGGACAAUUGACAGUCUGUAGUGGACAGCCACUGAGCGGCCAACCUUUGUAACUGCUUCAAAAAACAUUUUUCAUUACCCAGAAUGCUAGCUGUGGAGCCAGGACUUUCUGAGGUGUUGAGUGUUCAAGUAUUGUCAAAUGCGAUCACUAUUCAGCCCUGGAGCAAGAUUGCAAGAGAUUGUCUAAAUGGUGGAGGCUGAGAGACACUCAGCUAGGACACUCAGCUCCAGCACUAGGUUUUUAGAAUGUGACUCAGUUGUAUUCAUUGUGUUCUAGGAACUCUGCAUAACACUAGAAUAUGGUGUGUGUGUGUGUGUGUGUGUGUGUGUGUGUGUGUGUGUGUGUGUGUGUUUGUGUGUUCCCCACUUUUAUUAAGAACCCAUUCUGACAAGAGAACUGUAAGUAACAACCACAGGAUCAGGGCAAGUAUUGUAAGAAAAACAUCACAUAGAAAAGAGUUUACCCAAAGAUUGUUUUGUUUGUCACCAUCAGAUACAGGACAGAACAGUACUACAAAUUUAGUUAUUUUUAGGAACCAUUUAACCACAAUAUUCUCCCAGACCGUAGAAACUAUAAAAUAUUUAGAGAAGAUAUAGAGCUUUUAAACUCAUUAAUUUUUGUACUCCCAUGCCUGGGAUAUUAUAACCAACCUGUGAGUUAAUAAGUUGAAGUGGGACAAUUAAAUGACUGUCUAAGCCUCAAAGCUAGGAAGAAUUAAACUUAAAAUAAGCCUAGGAUCUUAGACUCCAUGUCUAGUGUUCUUUUCAUGAUAAAGCAUUCUUUCUUUGUAAUGAACCCAUUUGCUAUAACCCAAUUAUAUAAGAAUUUCAUUAAAUGUAAAUGGCUUAAGAACAUUAAUAUAAGAUAGAGGCUAUUGGCUUGAAUUUAAGAAACAAACUAUCAGCUUUUAACAAUGGACCAUGAGUAUGAGGGACUUAUACCUGCCAUUCUGCAUGCAGAAAGCUGGAAGGGACAUACUUACCAUGGCUAAUCCUACAUAAAAAUAAUCCCUCCCUGCUGAGUGCUCACAUAAUGAAGCCACAUGUUUAUAGGUUCUAUAUGGUCUGGGCUUCAGUCAUCCCAGUCUUUUCUCACUACAGACCAUGCUCAUUGAUCUCCCCUCUCCCAGCACCCCAUCACCUGUCCGUGCUAGAACUCUGGUGUAUGCUUGGCCUAGCUCAUGCUCUUUCCUUAGAAGGACAGAAACUUCCUCCUCACUUAAUCAAACUCCAUUUGCUCAUCACCACUCAGCUCAACAUGGAUUUCCUCAAGGAUGCUGAUUUUGUCUAGCCAAUGGCUAGAGACAUUCACUAAGUUCUCUACUUUUUUUAUAUGGUAGUCCUGGUUGCAGUUCUCCAGGACCAUCUUCCACUCCAUUAUGAAACAAUGUGCUAACUCUUUUUCUAGACUCAAGCCUUAAGAGAGAGCUUUGUCUAAAUUGCUCACUUGUCACAGUACCCAAGCACACUGGUAGAUGUUUGAUAAAAUGUGUUUGAAUAGAUAGAUGACUGACAGGUGCUACAUCUUAAGAUUUAGCUUAUUUCUUUAUAAAAGUCAGCAUGACAGAUCACAGCCAUGAAUGAAAGUGAGCAGAUGUGAUGUCCUAUCUUAGCUCUGAGUACCUUGCUGUAUGACAAUGAGUGAGUCGCUUUGCUGCCCCAUCUCAAAUUCCACAUAUGUGGCAAAAUAUUUAUUUGCUAUCUGACCUCCAAGAUCUGUUUGAGAUUACAGAAUUCUCUUAUCCUCCUCAGACUGAACCUAAAACAUGAGUUUUUUUGUUUGUUUUUCAACAGGAAAAGGCUGAUCUGGAAGAGUCAGGCACUUCAGAGACUUUCUGAGUGCAAUCAUAUUUUCAGUCAAGUGGUAAAAACCUAAAUUCCAAUGUGUCUUAAAAAUGGGUAAUGCACUAAUCUGAUUAUAGGGGAAGGUAAGUUCAGGCAGCCUCUCUAUUAUUGCUAGGAGUUUUAACUGGCGUCAUCUGUGUGGAUUUCUGGAGAUUUCCCCUAGCACCAGGUUUCUCUCUAACCUCCUAAUGGUUCCCUCUACCAAAGUAUCUCUUUCAUUGCUCUUCCUCUCUGUCCCUGUCUCCACUCGGCCAUCUCAGUCUCUAUUCCUAUCCCCCAUCUCUUAUCAGAUUAGUGACUACCCUAAUUGUCAUCAUAAAACCUAUAUCCAGUAACUGAAGGAAGCAGAUGCAGUGAUCCACAACCAAGUAUUGGGCUGAGCUCCUAGACUUCAAGAAGAGGGAGGAGGGAUCACAGGAGUAAAUGAGGUCAAGAUCAUGAUGGAGAAAACCACAGCCACAGCUGAUCCAAGCUCAUGGACUCUGGCCUGUCACCUGGGGAACAUGCAUGGGACCGAACUAGGCACUCUGAAUGUGGGUGACAGUUAUGUGGCUAGAUCUGUUUGGGGAGCCCCUGGAAGUGGGACCAGGACUUAUCCUGAGUGCAUGACAUGGCUUUUUGAAACACAUGGCCUAGGGUGGGAUAUCUUGCUCAGCCUCAAUUUAGAAUGCCAGACUUCAUUGACUCCCCAAUGGAGGCCUUACCCUUUCUGAGGAGUGGAUGGGGGAUGAUGGGGAUGGUGGGAAUUGGGAGAAGGGGAAGGAGGGGGAACUGGGAUUGCUAUGUAAAAUGAAAAAAAAAAAACCUUUUUAAAAAAAAUGGAUAAAUGUACUGAAUGAGUCCAUCCCCACCAAAAGCUGACCUUCAUUUCACCUCAGCAAUUCUGCUUGUCCCAAUCUCUAGAAGAACUGUUAUUCAUGUGAAUCUAGGUAAAGCAGGUGCUUCCUAGCUGCGUGGCCAGUCUCUGGUUACUAAGUUGAUCAUGGUCAAAGGCUUGCUGCAGGGAGCAAGUCCAUUUCUGUCUGCAUCUCCUCUGUCUUUCCAUGCUGAGGCAAAUAUGCUUAUUGUUGCUUACAGACGAAUAUCCUGAGAUACAUGUGGCUCUUGCCUUCUAGAACUACGCCCAAUGUGACAAAGGAGCUGAAUUUUAAUUAUAUUGUAUAGAUUAAUUUAAUCCCAGAUAACCAGUGGCUAUGACAUUGGUCAGUGCUAAGUACAAUGAUGUGACACAGUAAUAAAGUGUUGGUCACAUAGCAAAUCCCUGGGGACUGCCAUUCUCUAGUCAUGCUGGUGAUAAGGAUGAUAUUCUUACACUUGUCCAUUCCUCUAUCUCACAGUUUAUCUGCCUUUAUCCCAGGAAUAUAGAUAGUGAGAUGGAAGGUGUUUCCAUGGGAGUUGUGGUUCUGGGCCCCUGUGGGCCUCAAGAACAGAGAACAUCCAUUCAUUUCCUCAUGUUUGCACCAUUCAGCAAUGCUUGGGUUCCAGUGUCCUCUGUAGAGGUCAAGGAGACCCACAGACUUCCAGGGAGACGCACCCCCAAGAUGGUGUGCUUUGGUGAGAAGGCCCCUCAGUGUUGUGUUCUUUCCAUCCCUUUGGCAGAGUGCCACUAUGCCAAUAUGGGUCCCUGCAAGUGAUGUAUACCUGGUCACAGAUCAUCCUGCUUCCACCAAGGAGGAAAUAACCCAGGAUGGGUAAUGUAUCUACUCCCCUUUCUUGCUCUCAUUGCCCCUUUAAAGGCUGAAGACUUGUGGACCCUCACUUUUCCUCAUUUGUAUGAUGCUUUUUGAGAUGAGGAAUGUUAGUUUAGUAGGCCAGGAGCUAGCUAAAUAUAUUAAGGGCCCAUGGUCAGCUAAGUUUCUAUAUUAUUCAUUACAGCUAACGUAUGAAAUUUUCCAAUUAAAUCAGACAAGGGCAGAGGAUACGGCCUUUGACUACUUUUUUGAGGUUUGGUGUGUUAUAAAAAGGCUAUUUGAUCCUUUUUGAAUUCUCACUUGUGUUUUGAUUGGUGGGGUGGUGCAUUUAAUCUUUCUCCUUUUUAAGUGUCUCCUACAGCACAUCCAGCAACAACAGGCAGCCGCUAAGGUGACUCUACAGGUGUUAAUGGCUCUUAGACAUCCAACUCAUAGCCCUCUACAGGUUAUGCAUGCCUAGCUUUCUGAAAUUCAAAAGGCUACUGCCUUACCCUCCCUACCCAGGGUGACUCCCCAGGGAUGGAUGCUCUUCUAGGGCUGAUAGUCAAUAAUGGGUAAGAGCUUGUUUGGCAAUCCAACCUAAGACGGCAUAGUCCAAUUGCUGAGCGCCCCCCCCCCCCACUUUUUAGGUGGGGUUAACAAGGAUGGAGCAAAGAACUCCGACUCCCGCUCAGUGCCCACAUAAUAAAAUAAAAGGGUGGAUAUGUAGUAGGAAAGGCCCAUAGGGUUGAGGAAAUUCACUCAAACCAGUUGCCAAGGCAUUCACAUAACAUAAUUCCUUAUGAACCAACCUGGAGUCUGCCUAAGGGCCUAGCAACCGGUGCUGUCAGAGUUCCUGGUCACUGUCAGAGUUCCUGAUCAUACGAGCCAAUGAAGGAAGACCACACAAUGCCACCAGAUUGCAACACAGACUGGGUGCUGGGAGGAGGGUAUAUGAGGCCUUCCCCAUUAUUGAAUAAAUCAGUGUGCUGGGUUUGCCUUCAA